CNUUGCGCUNUCUCAAGCCUAACAUUUCCAANUCGAGCCGGNNGACGGGAGCUUGCUCCCUGAUUUAGCGGCGGACGGGUGAGUAAUGCCUAGGAAUCUGCCUGGUAGUGGGGGAUAACGUUCCGAAAGGAACGCUAAUACCGCAUACGUCCUACGGGAGAAAGCAGGGGACCUUCGGGCCUUGCGCUAUCAGAUGAGCCUAGGUCGGAUUAGCUAGUUGGUGAGGUAAUGGCUCACCAAGGCGACGAUCCGUAACUGGUCUGAGAGGAUGAUCAGUCACACUGGAACUGAGACACGGUCCAGACUCCUACGGGAGGCAGCAGUGGGGAAUAUUGGACAAUGGGCGAAAGCCUGAUCCAGCCAUGCCGCGUGUGUGAAGAAGGUCUUCGGAUUGUAAAGCACUUUAAGUUGGGAGGAAGGGCAUUAACCUAAUACGUUAGUGUUUUGACGUUACCGACAGAAUAAGCACCGGCUAACUUCGUGCCAGCAGCCGCGGUAAUACGAAGGGUGCAAGCGUUAAUCGGAAUUACUGGGCGUAAAGCGCGCGUAGGUGGUUCAGUAAGUUGGAUGUGAAAUCCCCGGCUCAACCUGGGAACUGCAUCCAAAACUGCUGAGCUAGAGUA
rnacentral:rRNA from 1 species